CGGGGCGAGAGGGACUCACCUGCGAGCCUGGCCGACCGUGUAUGGGCUUCCGGCGGAGGGCGAAACGGGGAGGAGCCGUCUGGUGGAAUAUACCUGUUUGGAAUAUGAUUUUUUGGCAUGGCCUUUGUAACUAAAGAAAUAAUACAGUGCCUGAAAAAUAUUCCCUUGAUAAUAGGAUCUGCCUUGGAUGAAGAACCAUCAUGUACUCAUAAGAACAAACAACGUAACAUGAGACUUACGCAAGUAGAGGAAUAUUUUCUGGUGAAGGCGUCGUCCUUGUUCUGCCGAGCUGAAAUUAUCUCCCAGCUCAUGUUAGCAGAGCACCUCAGGAGCACUCUUCCCAGGUAGAUUGGUUCAGAUGGUAGAAAUCUUUAACUAAUAAAAACUCACAAAAAAGCAGGUGUUGAUUUAUUUGCCACCAAAGCAAACAGAGGUUCAAGG